rnacentral:rRNA from 1 species
GGGUUGUGAGGUUAAGCGACUAAGCGUACACGGUGGAUGCCCUGGCAGUCAGAGGCGAUGAAGGACGUGCUAAUCUGCGAUAAGCGUCGGUAAGGUGAUAUGAACCGUUAUAACCGGCGAUUUCCGAAUGGGGAAACCCAGUGUGAUUCGUCACACUAUCAUUAACUGAAUCCAUAGGUUAAUGAGGCGAACCGGGGGAACUGAAACAUCUAAGUACCCCGAGGAAAAGAAAUCAACCGAGAUUCCCCCAGUAGCGGCGAGCGAACGGGGAGCAGCCCAGAGCCUGAAUCAGUGUGUGUGUUAGUGGAAGCGUCUGGAAAGGCGCGCGAUACAGGGUGACAGCCCCGUACACAAAAAUGCACAUACUGUGAGCUCGAUGAGUAGGGCGGGACACGUGGUAUCCUGUCUGAAUAUGGGGGGACCAUCCUCCAAGGCUAAAUACUCCUGACUGACCGAUAGUGAACCAGUACCGUGAGGGAAAGGCGAAAAGAACCCCGGCGAGGGGAGUGAAAAAGAACCUGAAACCGUGUACGUACAAGCAGUGGGAGCACGCUUAGGCGUGUGACUGCGUACCUUUUGUAUAAUGGGUCAGCGACUUAUAUUCUGUAGCAAGGUUAACCGAAUAGGGGAGCCGAAGGGAAACCGAGUCUUAACUGGGCGUUAAGUUGCAGGGUAUAGACCCGAAACCCGGUGAUCUAGCCAUGGGCAGGUUGAAGGUUGGGUAACACUAACUGGAGGACCGAACCGACUAAUGUUGAAAAAUUAGCGGAUGACUUGUGGCUGGGGGUGAAAGGCCAAUCAAACCGGGAGAUAGCUGGUUCUCCCCGAAAGCUAUUUAGGUAGCGCCUCGUGAAUUCAUCUCCGGGGGUAGAGCACUGUUUCGGCAAGGGGGUCAUCCCGACUUACCAACCCGAUGCAAACUGCGAAUACCGGAGAAUGUUAUCACGGGAGACACACGGCGGGUGCUAACGUCCGUCGUGAAGAGGGAAACAACCCAGACCGCCAGCUAAGGUCCCAAAGUCAUGGUUAAGUGGGAAACGAUGUGGGAAGGCCCAGACAGCCAGGAUGUUGGCUUAGAAGCAGCCAUCAUUUAAAGAAAGCGUAAUAGCUCACUGGUCGAGUCGGCCUGCGCGGAAGAUGUAACGGGGCUAAACCAUGCACCGAAGCUGCGGCAGCGACACUAUGUGUUGUUGGGUAGGGGAGCGUUCUGUAAGCCUGUGAAGGUGUACUGUGAGGUAUGCUGGAGGUAUCAGAAGUGCGAAUGCUGACAUAAGUAACGAUAAAGCGGGUGAAAAGCCCGCUCGCCGGAAGACCAAGGGUUCCUGUCCAACGUUAAUCGGGGCAGGGUGAGUCGACCCCUAAGGCGAGGCCGAAAGGCGUAGUCGAUGGGAAACAGGUUAAUAUUCCUGUACUUGGUGUUACUGCGAAGGGGGGACGGAGAAGGCUAUGUUGGCCGGGCGACGGUUGUCCCGGUUUAAGCGUGUAGGCUGGUUUUCCAGGCAAAUCCGGAAAAUCAAGGCUGAGGCGUGAUGACGAGGCACUACGGUGCUGAAGCAACAAAUGCCCUGCUUCCAGGAAAAGCCUCUAAGCAUCAGGUAACAUCAAAUCGUACCCCAAACCGACACAGGUGGUCAGGUAGAGAAUACCAAGGCGCUUGAGAGAACUCGGGUGAAGGAACUAGGCAAAAUGGUGCCGUAACUUCGGGAGAAGGCACGCUGAUAUGUAGGUGAAGUCCCUCGCGGAUGGAGCUGAAAUCAGUCGAAGAUACCAGCUGGCUGCAACUGUUUAUUAAAAACACAGCACUGUGCAAACACGAAAGUGGACGUAUACGGUGUGACGCCUGCCCGGUGCCGGAAGGUUAAUUGAUGGGGUCAGCGCAAGCGAAGCUCUUGAUCGAAGCCCCGGUAAACGGCGGCCGUAACUAUAACGGUCCUAAGGUAGCGAAAUUCCUUGUCGGGUAAGUUCCGACCUGCACGAAUGGCGUAAUGAUGGCCAGGCUGUCUCCACCCGAGACUCAGUGAAAUUGAACUCGCUGUGAAGAUGCAGUGUACCCGCGGCAAGACGGAAAGACCCCGUGAACCUUUACUAUAGCUUGACACUGAACAUUGAGCCUUGAUGUGUAGGAUAGGUGGGAGGCUUUGAAGUGUGGACGCCAGUCUGCAUGGAGCCGACCUUGAAAUACCACCCUUUAAUGUUUGAUGUUCUAACGUUGACCCGUAAUCCGGGUUGCGGACAGUGUCUGGUGGGUAGUUUGACUGGGGCGGUCUCCUCCUAAAGAGUAACGGAGGAGCACGAAGGUUGGCUAAUCCUGGUCGGACAUCAGGAGGUUAGUGCAAUGGCAUAAGCCAGCUUGACUGCGAGCGUGACGGCGCGAGCAGGUGCGAAAGCAGGUCAUAGUGAUCCGGUGGUUCUGAAUGGAAGGGCCAUCGCUCAACGGAUAAAAGGUACUCCGGGGAUAACAGGCUGAUACCGCCCAAGAGUUCAUAUCGACGGCGGUGUUUGGCACCUCGAUGUCGGCUCAUCACAUCCUGGGGCUGAAGUAGGUCCCAAGGGUAUGGCUGUUCGCCAUUUAAAGUGGUACGCGAGCUGGGUUUAGAACGUCGUGAGACAGUUCGGUCCCUAUCUGCCGUGGGCGCUGGAGAACUGAGGGGGGCUGCUCCUAGUACGAGAGGACCGGAGUGGACGCAUCACUGGUGUUCGGGUUGUCAUGCCAAUGGCACUGCCCGGUAGCUAAAUGCGGAAGAGAUAAGUGCUGAAAGCAUCUAAGCACGAAACUUGCCCCGAGAUGAGUUCUCCCUGACUCCUUGAGAGUCCUGAAGGAACGUUGAAGACGACGACGUUGAUAGGCCGGGUGUGUAAGCGCAGCGAUGCGUUGAGCUAACCGGUACUAAUGAACCGUGAGGCUUAACCUUACAACGCCGAAGGUGUUU